rfam:Selaginella moellendorffii unplaced genomic scaffold SELMOscaffold_55, whole genome shotgun sequence.
GGGGAUGUAGCUCAAAUGGUAGAGCGAUGGUCGACGAUAGACAUAGGUAGGAGGAUCGAUACCUCCCAUCUCCA